GGGAGAGAUUUCAUCGGAUUAGUCAAUGUCAGCAGAAGAUCAUCUGUGAGUAAUGAAACUGUCAGAUCUCUGAUACAGGUCAGGAUCCCUCUGAUAUUGGGCUCAUUUUUAAUCUUUGAUAUUAAUUGUUCUAUUGACAAUAUAAAGCUUGGCGGGGAUAAUGGACUCCCUUGCCGAGUACCAUUUGGGACAAAAGAUUUUGCAGAGGUUUGGGUGUAGAGAUCCAAGAUUGCCCUCAGAAUGUAGGGAGGGAAGCCAAAUUUGAUAAGGACAGUUGAGGUACAACCAG